UACGUAGGUGGCAAGCGUUGUCCUGAUUUACUGGGCGUAAAGAGCGCGCAGGCGGUCGUUCAAGUCGCGUGUGAAAGCCCCCGGCUCAACUGGGGAGGGUCACGCGAUACUGAUCGACUCGAAGGCAGGAGAGGGUAGUGGAAUUCCCGGUGUAGUGGUGAAAUGCGUAGAUAUCGGGAGGAACACCAGUGGCGAAGGCGACUACCUGGCCUGUUCUUGACGCUGAGGCGCGAAAGCUAGGGGAGCAAACGGG
rnacentral:rRNA from 1 species